GUCCCAGACGGCAGAGGGAGCCGCCGCCGCUGCAGGGGCCGCGCCGGGGAUGCCCAGCGCCGGCGCCGCCGCUCUCGUCCGCGCGCUGCUCGGCUGAAGGCGCACAGGACUCAAUUACUGGAAUUGUCAACUCUGCUGAUUUAUGUGCACAUUUCUCUUCCACUAUGAGCAGACUAAUUGUAUUGCACAUUUGUCUGGCAUUCUGUAGCCUUGUACUUCUCAACUUUGCCACACAAUGUGUGGCCUUCCCCAGAAUGGAAAGAAGGGAGAUAGCACAUGUUCAUGUAGAAACGGGGCAGCCUGAGAGGAUGAACACAGAUGAUCUAGAAAAUAAGUCUAUUACGUCAAAGUGCACUCCCCAAUUGGUGGUCUCUGAAGAACCAGUGAUGGUGUUAGCAGGACCAACAGCAACAUCAUUAAAUAAAGUAUUUCCUACUAACAAAGAAGCUCGUCCCAUAGGAGCUGGGCUCAUGCAGCCUAAUAGCCCUGGCAUUUACACUGCUACUGAGACAGCAGUCCCUGCAAGGUUUGGUUCCAGCCAGCCAGAGAGGGUGUCUCCUGAAAGCCGACUUUCCAAGGCCAUGCUAACCAGUCCCAUUACUGCAACUGCUCGUCUGCAUAUCGAUAAGAAGGAGGGACACUUCAGUAGUACCAUCAUUCAGCACAUUGGAGAGGGGACCACAGAAGCAACACAGGGUUUUCUGAAGUAUGUGGAUGAUCAGUUGUUUGCAACUGAAAGUCAGGAUGGAGUUAGUCUGGGAUAUUUACCUUCAUCUGCUGUGGAUACUAAAGAAAUGCUAACUGCUAAUCCAAGGACUGAGAAAUCUGAAGCAGGCACAGAACAUGGGGCAGCUUUUUUUCUUGGUGCUGAGCCCAUAGCAGGCACGGAGCCUGGGAGCCCCACGCCUGAUAGGGAGAAACCUUCGCAGAUGACAGCUGAUCAUACCCAGACUACUGCCACCAAGUACUGGCUCACAACCUCCGAGUACACCCUGAGUGUUGAGCCAGAAACUGACAGGCUGCCGGGAGCCACGGGAGUCACAGUGAGUGUCAGCACAGCUGUUCCAGCUGCCUCUGACCUAAGUGAUGAGUGGGAUGAUACCAAAUUAGAGAGUGUAAGCCAGAUAAAGACCCCCACACUUGGAGACAACAUAGAGACUCAGGUGGGAAUGGAAAUGUCUCAGACAGCCCAAGAGAUCGAUAAUGACCCUAUGGAAGGUAUGGAAGAGGGCAAACCUGUGACAGAGGCUGCAGAUGUGGCUCUGGGGCUGUCAGAAGGGGAAGCACACUUGGGGACAGCCCUGUUAAUGGCACAUGGGGAGGAGCGAUCAUCUGCCGUCACCGAUCAGAAUUCCUUUAUUCCCACAAGUCCUAUGGAAGAUAGGAAAGUCUCUGUUGUGAGCCUCUUCCAAGAUACUGCAGACUUCAUGGAGUCUACUAAGGAAAAUGAUCCCAUGUUUUUCUUAGAGACCACUGUUCCCAUCUCAGAAUAUGAAUCUGAGGCGCAUCAACCAUUGGGAAAUACAUUGAAAGACAUCAUCACUCAAGAGAUGACAACAGCUGUUCAAGAACCAGAAGCCACUUUAUCAUUGGCGACACAAGAGCAGCAGGUUUCUACCCUUGAGGUUGCUGGAGAAAAUGGUAACACUGAGGAAGGAAAAGAUUCCCCCUUCACCACAUCUGGUGUUCCUGCUGUUACUCAGCUGUCGAGGAGAUGGGAGCCUCUGUCCACUACAGUUUCAACUACAGCUGUGCCUCUGUCUUUUGAAGUUACUUCUGCUCUGGAAGAUCUAAUGGACACUGUCACAGGGCCAAAUGAGGAAUUGUUCACACCAGUUUGGGGCUCUCCAGUGACUCCUCCUGGAAUAAUGGAGGAAGCACCCAGCCUUUUCCCAGCGCUUCCUGAUUCUGAGGCGUCCUCGGAGAGAAGAACCGCUGUCCCAUCCAUUAGCCAAGUUAAUACAGCUGCCUCAUUUGGCCUGGACCAACUUGAAUCUGAAGAGGGAGAAGAAGAUGAGGAUGAAGAGGAUGAGGAGGAGGAAGAGGAAGAAGAGGAAGAUGAGGAAGAAGAUGAAGAAGAUAAAGAAGGAGAGACCCUGGAUGAGAGCUUGGAUGGUGAUGCUGAGCUGCCUGGGUUUACUCUCCCUGGCAUCACGUCUCAAGAACCUGGCUUGGAGCAGGAAAAUCUGGGCCCGUUGGAGGGAGCUACCUACCAGGUGCCAGACGCUAUCGAGUGGGAACAGCAGAAUCAGGGCCUGGUGAGAAGCUGGAUGGAAAAACUAAAAGAUAAGGCUGGCUACAUGUCUGGGAUGCUGGUUCCUGUAGGCGUCGGGAUAGCCGGAGCCUUGUUCAUCUUGGGAGCACUCUACAGCAUUAAGGUCAUGAAUCGCCGAAGGAGAAACGGCUUCAAAAGGCAUAAAAGAAAGCAGAGAGAAUUCAACAGCAUGCAAGAUCGUGUCAUGCUCUUAGCCGACAGCUCUGAAGAUGAGUUUUGAAUCAGAUGGGAAUUUCAUUGGGAUACUCAACUGUGUUAUUAUUUUAUUUCUUAUUUUGGGGCAAAAAAAGAACAGCAUCCUGCCACAUCACUGCUGUCAGGCCAUCAGGCUUAUUAUCUAUUGGGCAGUAGAUUUCUCUUAUACUGAGCAGGAAAGGCAUGAUGUAGACUUACUAUAAUAUGCAGUGCUUGUUUUUAAUUCUGUAGUGAAUGUUCUACAACCAUAGGCUACAACUCAUCAAUAUGCAGUGUACAUGUUGUUCAUUAGAAGUUGCUAGGUAAAUAUUUUGUAUUUUUGCAAAGGGCCUUUUCCUUGAUUUACCUGCACUAAGUAUAAUGAUUAUUGCUGCCAAAGCAUGUUGACUCUGAAAUAGAAAUCUUAACAGAAUGGCUCAUGAUGACUGCAUUUGGCCUACUUGAAGUGGUAGGCUUCUGGGCCACGGUACAUCCUACAUUUGUAUCAAAACUAGCAGCAAGCUGGAAUGAAGAUCUCUUGGUGCAUUAGGAUAAUAUGUAGAUUUGUAUCUAUCUUGAAUUAUAUUCUCUAGUCUCUCAGUUUUAUUGUUUUGCAUCUUCUGUCUUAUUCUUCGCAGGAAAAAAAAAUGCACCAGAAAUAAUACAUUAAAUGGACUUCUCGGUCUUAAUGUAAACUUGCUCUCUUAAGUAGUAUAAUUGAGUCCAACAGAUGUGUCAAUAGAUGCUUACAUGUUUAUCACUAAGAGGUGUUCUCUUUGUGUAUCAUUUGACUUUGCAAGAAGAAAUGAGGAAGAAAUCAAGAAGAAAAUGAGUAUGUGAAGGUAUGCUAACAGGGGAAGAAGUGUGAGUAGAAGAAGAUGAAGAAAAAUCUUGAUGCAAUGCAGCUGUAAACAUGGUACAAAACUCUGGAAUGUACUAGAGGAUGCCAAAGUGCUGAGUGGACCAAUGCCUGGAAAAAUGAUAAAGAGAAACAAGGAGAAAAAGGCAAAAGAGGUAGACCAUUGAAUGCAGGGGAAGGGACGCUAAAUCUAAAUUUGUUUUCAUCCUCUCCAUCAAAGAAAAUUACUCUAUACCAGGUAGAAUGGACACAAGUGGAAGGGAAUUGAAGCCUAAAAUCGAUGAGACAAAAGGAACUUGGUUAUUUUAAGCAAGCUUAAGUUCAGUUAAAUAUCUUUCUUAAUUACACAGAAUUCAAAUAACUGAAUAUAAGUCUCUAGGAAUAGGAAAUAAUUUGAGAACAGAAUAAUAGUGUUGACCUAAUAAAAGCACCUUAUUUGUAUGUUUAGUAUCCCCCAUAAGACACAGAUUUUGGGGGCUUGUUUGCUCUGAUAAUUAUCAUUUUUUGGCAGUCAACAUAGCUGGAAACAUAAUUCUGUUGCUCAAGUUCUACAUGUGACAAAAAUAAUCAGCAUUUAUUUUGUAAGCCACUGCUAGCUAUACAAAUGCAUUGGGAUUGCCCUAUUUUGAGUAACUGAUACAUCUAACUCCCUGUUAAUUAGCUUAAAUUUCUAUUAUGUGUAUAUAGGAUAAAGGAGAGGAAAGAAGGGAGGAAGGAAGGAAGAAAAAAGAAAUUUCCCCCAGGAAACAGCAACAAAAGUAUAGAGUCAAAUCCUAUGCUCUUUUGUUCUAGUAUGCUUAAACACACAAAACAAAAUUGGGGUAAAAUAAAACCCUCUCAAAUCUUCCAUUUAUUAAAGCAAAGAUCUUACUUUCCCUUCUCAAAAAGCAACAGGAGCAAUUAUACAAGCAAUAAUCAAUAAUAAUUUGUAAUAGAGAGUAUACAUGUUCACCAUAAGACUCUAUCUCCAGAUCCAAAGUUCAAGACUGAUUUUGUUGAGAGAUGUAAACUUUUGUGGAAUAAGUAUGGAGGAAAGGAGAAGGAGUAGAAACAGAAGAAUUAAUGAAAAAUCCUUUUUCUUCCUCUUCUCAAAGUUUCUUGGUGUGGGAACAGGGUACAAGCAGAAUGGAAGGCUAAUGGAGUGCUUACUUGUGUUUUUUUAUUACCUUGGAGGUGGAGAGGUCAUAUGCUGUGGUCUGCAAAGACUGAACCUGGUAUCAGGUUAGGAUCCUGGGGCUUUUAUUAACAGUGUACUGUGCAUCUCCAUAUUUCCUUCCUAAUUCACACCAACAUAAAGGAGGGGGACCAAUAGCAUUUGAAAUAUUUCUCCAAUUUUAUGCCUCACAGCUUAGCUAUAGAGUUUGCAUAGUUACAGAUAUCUUUGUGAUCAAACGGACCAAAAUAUACAUGUAGGAAAGUAUAAGUCCAAUCUUCCAAAAACAGAAAGAUGUUUGGAUACCAGAUGAUUCAAGCCCUUUAUCUUCCAAAAAGAAAUUUUGGUACAAAAUCUCCAAUGAUCAGUUUACCUCAUUUCCUUCUUUGUGUAAGAGAUAAGAGAACAAAGAAGAAAUCUGAAAUGGUUCUGCAACUGGAUGGAUCAGUUCCCAAAGGUCUGUGUCAAGGUGAAAGAGGAUGCUUAGAGAUUCUAUGGCAAACUAAGAGCACUGUGAUGUUGUUGCUUCUUAGUAUUUAUUGAAUGUCCUUUGUGUGUCUGGCAGUAUCUUAAGAGCUGGGGGAGCAAGGUGAGCAAGCAGUCCACGACCAGAAAGAGCUAAUGGACUAGUGAGGCAAGAGUAAAUGGGCCAUUUUAUACAGAGGUAAGAUGGGAUCCAAAAAAGGAGCAUCUAACCCUGCUAAGAUUGAGGAUGUUUCUCCAGAGCCAGUAGCAUCAAGCCGGAAGCCAAAGAAAUGAGUCUGGGUUAGUGAGGUAAAGAGGGGAAUGGGAUGGGUCCUCCAGCCAGGGAAACCUCAUAUGCAGAAGCCAGCAGUGAGGGAUCAUGGAAAAUUCAGCAGUGAGAGA